rnacentral:rRNA from 1 species
UACGGUGAAUACGUUCCCGGACCUUGCACACACCGCCCGUCAAGCCAUGGAAGCCGGGUGUACCUAAAGUCGGUAACCGUAAGGAGCUCGCCUAGGGUAAACCGGUGACUGGGGCU